CGGGGGAGGCCAGAUCCUGGGCUGUGUCCCGGCGCCCUGUGCUCCCGGCCUGCGCUGAUGAUUGGCGCUCCGGCCCCGCAGCCCCCU
rnacentral:pre_miRNA from 1 species